AUUGAACGCUGGCGGCAUGCCUUACACAUGCAAGUCGAACGGUAACAGGUCUUCGGAUGCUGACGAGUGGCGAACGGGUGAGUAAUACAUCGGAACGUGCCCGAUCGUGGGGGAUAACGGAGCGAAAGCUUUGCUAAUACCGAAUACGAUCUACGGAUGAAAGCAGGGGACCGCAAGGCCUAGCGCGGACGGAGCGGCCGAUGGCAGAUUAGGUAGUUGGUGGGGUAAAAGCUUACCAAGCCGACGAUCUGUAGCUGGUCUGAGAGGACGGCCAGCCACACUGGGACUGAGAGACGGCACAGACUCCUACGGGAGGAAGCAGUGGGGAAUUUUGGACAAUGGGCGCAGGCCUGAUCCAGCCAUGCCGCGUGCAGGAUGAAGGCCUUCGGGUUGUAAACUGCUUUUGUACGGAACGAAAAGACUCUUUCUAAUAAAGAGGGUCCAUGACGGUACCGUAAGAAUAAGCACCGGCUAACUACGUGCCAGCAGCCGCCGUAACAC
rnacentral:rRNA from 1 species